UCCUACCGGGAGGCAGCAGUGGGGAAUAUUGCACAAUGGGCGCAAGCCUGAUGCAGCGACGCCGCGUGAGGGAUGACGGCCUUCGGGUUGUAAACCUCUUUCAGCAGGGACGAAGCGUGAGUGACGGUACCUGCAGAAGAAGCACCGGCCAACUACGUGCCAGCAGCCGCGGUAAUACGUAGGGUGCAAGCGUUGUCCGGAAUUACUGGGCGUAAAGAGCUCGUAGGCGGUUUGUCGCGUCGUCUGUGAAAACCAGCAGCUCAACUGUUGGCUUGCAGGCGAUACGGGCAGACUUGAGUAUUUCAGGGGAGACUGGAAUUCCUGGUGUAGCGGUGAAAUGCGCAGAUAUCAGGAGGAACACCGGUGGCGAAGGCGGGUCUCUGGGAAAUAACUGACGCUGAGGAGCGAAAGCGUGGGUAGCGAACAGGAUUAGAUACCCUGGUAGUCCACGCCGUAAACGGUGGGCGCUAGGUGUGGGUUUCCUUCCACGGGAUCCGUGCCGUAGCUAACGCAUUAAGCGCCCCGCCUGGGGAGUACGGCCGCAAGGCUAAAACUCAAAGGAAUUGACGGGGGCCCGCACAAGCGGCGGAGCAUGUGGAUUAAUUCGAUGCAACGCGAAGAACCUUACCUGGGUUUGACAUACACCGGAAAGC
rnacentral:rRNA from 1 species